AUUGAACGCUGGCGGCAGGCUUAACACAUGCAAGUCGAGCGGGGUGAUGGUGCUUGCACUAUCACUUAGCGGCGGACGGGUGAGUAAUGCUUAGGAAUCUGCCUAUUAGUGGGGGACAACAUUUCGAAAGGAAUGCUAAUACAGCAUACGUCCUACGGGAGAAAGCAGGGGAUCUUCGGACCUUGCGCUAAUAGAUGAGCCUAAGUCGGAUUAGCUAGUUGGUGGGGUAAAGGCCUACCAAGGCGACGAUCUGUAGCGGGUCUGAGAGGAUGAUCCGCCACACUGGGACUGAGACACGGCCCAGACUCCGACGGGAGGCAGCAGUGGGGAAUAUUGGACAAUGGGCGGAAGCCUGAUCCAGCCAUGCCGCGUGUGUGAAGAAGGCCUUAUGGUUGUAAAGCACUUUAAGCGAGGAGGAGGCUACUUUAGUUAAUACCUAGAGAUAGUGGACGUUACUCGCAGAAUAAGCACCGGCUAACUCUGUGCCAGCCGCCGCAGUAACAC
rnacentral:rRNA from 1 species